CGCGUACAGGCGGUGGUUCCCUACGAGUCUGCGAAGGGGGUCUCUCGUCUCUUUGGGGAGGUUCCCUGUAGCUUUGUGGAGCUGGGCGUUCGUCUCUUGGGGGAGGUUCCCUGUAGCUUUGGGGUGCUGGGCGUUCGUCUCUCGUAGGCUGGUAGCCGUAGCUUUGUGAGGGUGGGGGGCGUUCAUCUCGAUGGGGCGGUGGGUCUCUGUGACUUUGGGGUGGGGGCCGCUCAUUUCUUGGGGGUGGAGGACGAUAUUGUGAAGGCGGGGGUCUGUCAUCAUAUCGAUCGGAAGAUGGACGAUAAUCCCGUGGGGGAGGCGGUCUAGAACUGUUAUCACUGUAUCCAUUCGGUACACUCUCUACUCGGUCUUCAUAACGUGGAAUAGAGACAGGUUCCUCCACAGGUCCACGUGGCGGGGGUCUUGAAACUCUCUUCACCUCUGCAAAUUCUGGCCCAGGUCUAUAUGAACUGUUAGCAACCAUCUGACCACGGCUGCGGCUAUCACGAGUGGAGUCAAUGAUGUAAUUUCUAGGCGCCGGGGGGCGGGAAGGCGGCUGUCCCUGGAUUUCAUCCUCCAGUUUCCAUAUAUCAGAAACCUGAGAACAGAUUGAAAGAAAGCACAAUUAUUGUAACGAUUUAAACAAGAAAGGCAAUAUGACUAAUUCACCAGCAUUUUGAACAGCAAAAUUCGAUAACCUUGCUCUACACUGUUGCUAGUUCAUAAUCAAAAUCAUACUUACAAAUUGUUUACAGUAUCAUAACCAAACACAUUUGGCAUACAAGUUGGGCAUGAAUCAAUGAAUUAAUGAAUAAAGAUUGACGAGGACAACUUAAAAAAAAGGUCAACGAUAAUCGGAGAAAAAGGUUGGUCGGUCAGGCGGAUAUUGCACCCUUUCGAUGGAUUCGCAUUUCUUGUCAAAACCCCAACAGAUAUACAGGCAACUAUAAAUAUUUCUAUUAGAGAAAUAGAAUUUCAAGAGGAAAAUGAAAACUUUAAGGACGUGUGUGUUAAAUCAGUAGUGUGAAACCGUAAAUGUGUGGCAAUACAUAAGCGAUUUAUUCAUGAGUCUGUUCAAAAUAGGGUUCUUUCUAAGAGGGAGGUUUGGCCCCAAAAAGGCUAGGUUUUAGAAUUUCAAGUCGAGACAUAGUCAAGAAUUUCAAGCCGUCAUCAAACCUAAAACGUUGCAGCAAAUUAGGACGCAGCGUGCGGUUGCCAAGUAGUUUUUAAUAGGAGAAAUACCCAGAGAAUAACACGGAGUUGCACAUUUAUAACAAAACAAUGACGCUCUCAAACAAAGCCGAUCAUGAACGCGCAUUUCAAUUCGCGCCUCGUGGUAAAAGACGCGCGCCCAAACAAAGCUAGCCAAAACAUAUUCUACCAAAGUUUUUUUCGCGGCAAAUCAAAUUUCAAUGCAUUAACGUGUUUACGGAGCAAUGCGGUC